rnacentral:sRNA from 1 species
AAGUGCCUUUGUGAUUUGGGAGCAUUUGUUAGCCUUAUGCCUCUCUCUACUGCCAAAAG